rnacentral:rRNA from 1 species
CCAUGCUAGUCGCACGAGUUCAGACUCGUGGCGAAUAGCUCAGUAACACGUGGCCAAACUACCCUUCGGAACACAAUACCCUCGGGAAACUGAGGCUAAUAGUGUAUACCAUACCACCACUGGAAUGAGUGGUAUGCCAAACGCUCCGGCGCCGAAGGAUGUGGCUGCGGCCGAUUAGGUAGACGGUGGGGUAACGGCCCACCGUGCCAAUAAUCGGUACGGGUCAUGAGAGUGAGAACCCGGAGACGGAAUCUGAGACAAGAUUCCGGGCCCUACGGGGCGCAGCAGGCGCGAAACCUUUACACUGCACGACAGUGCGAUAGGGGGAUCCCAAGUGCACAGGCAUAGCGCCUGUGCUUUUCGGCACCCUAAGGCGGUGCCAGAAUAAGGGCUGGGCAAGACCGGUGCCAGCCGCCGCGGUAAUACCGGCAGCCCAAGUGAUGGCCGAUCUUAUUGGGCCUAAAGCGUCCGUAGCUGGCCGCGCAAGUCCAUCGGGAAAUCCACCUGCUCAACAGGUGGGCGCCCGGUAGAAACUGCGUGGCUUGGGACCGGAAGGCGCGACGGGUACGUCCGGGGUAGGAGUGAAAUCCCGUAAUCCUGGACGGACCGCCGAUGGCGAAAGCACGUCGCGAGGACGGAUCCGACAGUGAGGGACGAAAGCCAGGGUCUCGAACCGGAUUAGAUACCCGGGUAGUCCUGGCCGUAAACAAUGUCUGCUAGGUGUGGCUCCCACUACGAGUGGGUGCUGUG